AUGGUUUAAGACAAAGGCUCUCCUGUGUCCACAGCAGGCUUGGGAAGCUAGCUCCGGCUCUUGAGAAGUGUGCAGGGGCAGUGUUUGGUGGCUCAGGUAACAAAGGGCAAGGGCCGGAGAAGCGAGCCGAGCCAAAGGUGAAGCUGCAGGGCCAGAGGCGAAGUGCCGGGGAGAAGCCAGAUGAGCGUCCCAGGGAUAAGAAUACUGGACUACUUUCUUCCUAAACCAGCAAUGGCCGUGGACAUAGCCAUGCAGCUGUAUCUGUGUUCUCCACCCUUGAGAAGAGAGAGAUUUACUUGUAAAAUAGCUCCAAAGCCAAACCAACCACUGCGCCCCUGCAUUCAGAACAAGGCUGAGAUGAGUGACCCUGGAGAGGCAGCUACAUCUCUCCGGGGAAAUCGGGUGAAAAAAAGGGUUUCCUUUGCCGACAGCAGAGGCUUGGCUCUGACAAUGGUUAAAGUGUUCUCAGAGUUUGAUGACCCAUUAGAUAUUCCAUUCAACAUCACAGAAUUAAUAGACAAUAUUGUGGGUCUGACAACGGUAGAGAGGGACACUUUUGUCUUGGAUUUCGUACAGCCUUCUGCAGACUACUUGGACUUAAGAAAUCGCCUUCAGACGGAUUUUGUCUGCCUGGAAAACUGCAUGCUGAAGGAUAAAGCUAUUGUGGGCACAGUGAAGGUUAAGAAUCUUGCUUUUGAGAAGAUUGUGAGAAUAAGGAUGACAUUUGACACUUGGAAAAGCUUCACAGAUUAUCCAUGCCAGUAUGUCAAGGACACUUACGCAGGAUCAGACAAGGACACGUUUUCCUUUGACAUCUGCUUGCCAGAGAGAAUCCAAUCCCAUGAAAGAAUUGAGUUUGCAGUCUAUUAUGAGUGUGAAGGGAAAGGUUUUUGGGACAACAACAGAGGUCUAAAUUACAGGAUCAUACAGUCUGAACUGAAAUCAGCUCGGGAAGUAUCGCAGCCUCAGGUUGGAUCAGACAGUGGCAUUGCUUUUGACCAGUUUGGAAGUCCGAGGUGUUCCUAUGGCUUGUUUCCUGAGUGGCCUAGCUAUUCAGGGUAUGAGAAGCUAGGGCCUUACUACUAAUGGAGGAACUGAGUCUUCAUUCACUAUCUGUUGCUGUGCCUGCUGCAAGUGUGGGAACUGGCCUGAAUGGGAAGUUUGUCAAAGGGCUGGAUAAAUAAAACUUUGUGGCUUUGCAAAAGACCCACGAGGGUAGAGCAAAAUGACUGUAAUGUUCAGUGACCACAAGUGGUUUUAAUAGUAGCUAAACAAGUGUCUUUUGCAUCAUGAUAAUGACCCCCAAGAUUGGAGACAGUUGGACAGAAUGGGAGACCUCACUAGAGUGUCUGUCCAGUGCUGCUAGUCCUCUUCUGUGUAAUGCUGCUAAUCUCCUCCAGUUAAACACUUAACUACUUCAGUGCUUGCAUUGUUCACUUAGCACUUCAAAUAUCUUCAUGGUGUCCUCUCCUGAGUCUUAAUGAGGACUCCUUGGUUCCUAAGAUGUGGAAGUAAGAUUCAGAAGUGUGAAUGCUGGCUAUCUGAAUUAUUCCCUCUGUGGAUGUGACUUGAAUUUUAACCUUCAUCACUGCUGAGUUAAGGAAAAUCACCAGGCCAGAUAACAAACUCUGGGUAAUGACUUCAGAGUUGGGGACAUCUGAGGAUAAUGCUGGCUAAUCCUUCUGGAGUCUCCCAGUUGGGGAGGAGGUACUAAGAACCUUUGCUUGCAGGAUACCGAAGAGCCCGACAUGAUCCAAUGGCUAGUCUGAGUGGGCGCGUGGCCAUUGAAAAGGCACAUCCACUGCCUUCCCAUGGUGCCCCUGUGAGUAACAUAAAGGAAAACGAAAGGAAACAAAAUGUGGAUCACCAGCUUGCAUUCUGCAUGACAGUCAGGCCAAACGAGCCAUCCUCCAGAGCUGCAGACCCUCCCUAGCAAUAGGGCUGGUUCUCAAGAUGCUGCUGUUCCAUAUCAAGGGGUCUCCUCUACUGAGCUGCAAACCGUGAGCGUAUGUAAUCUUGGGACUGGAGACGUGCUCAACCGCUAGUGUGCAGCUUUUACUACAAGGCUGUAACGUCCAUACAGCCAUACAGAGCCGAACAAUCUGGGCUACAGACCACUGUCAUUAGCACCGUUCCUCUGGCCCAUGGGGACUUGCCAUCACUUGGAGAAAGUGCCUCUGCAGGAGACAGACCCCGGGGCAAAGGAACUCCGAGCCAUCCCAAACCUAAGCCACAGGUGCACUGCUCCAAUCUGUCUUCACUCAUAUAAACACAGAGCAGUACGGACGUUUAAAAACCAACCAUAAACCCCUGCACGUACACAGGUCUCCCCUGGGGAGAGAGGGAGCCAGUGCUAGAGGAACCAUUCCCUGAUUCAUGAUGGCCCAGUAAGUAGUCUGUGGUGCUCAUGCUGUAACAUGAAACCAUUGGCAUGGCCUAUUUCUGGGCCUACUGAAACCGAUGGCAAAAUUCCCUUUGUCUCCAGUAGGAAUAGAUUGAAAGAGAGUGAUUGCUGUAUUAGACGCUGCUGAUGCUGCUGUGUGUUUGUUCCUGAAGCUAACCAAACACUCCAGUGCUUUUCUACAGUCAGUCUCUACUGCUACUCUCCCUUUUGGCUCCGGCCCAUCCAAGAGCAAUUCAGAAUGUGCGGUUAGCGAUCUGAGCACUGAUGGGAUUCUGCUCAUCUUAACUCCAAACUUCCUCUAUCUAGUUGUUUUGCACACCUGUCAGGCUGUUCUAGAAUCAACAGGCAAGCUUUGUGUUGAGGGUAGUACACAUUUUAAGCACAUUGUAGCCUCCAAAGCUACCUGGUAUGUAGCGUUUGAGCCACUCGCUCCUUUAAAGUUGUAACAGCACUGUAUAAAGCAAGCGGAGAGACUUCAAAGCAAGCCCAUUUCCCCGGUAAUGUAAAGCAUGGGUUAUUGAGCAAUACCGUGGUUGCUGGUUUUAAAGUCACACAGGAAUGUUUGUUAAAUAACUGCAAUCACAUACAACUGGUUUUAUUGAAAGGGAGUGAGGCUGCCGAUAUUCUCUGCUCCUAAUGUCAGUUUACUUUGGUUCUUGCAUUGAUAACAGAUUGGCAUUCAACUUCUCUGUAAUUAGUCAAAAGAAAGGUAGAAAGCAUCACCCAGGAGAAGUGUUUAUUCUGUGCUGGAGGCUUAAGGCAAGAUUUCACUAUGGAUUUUUCCAAGCUGUACUAAAUCUGGGGUUUAUAAGAAGUGGAUGUCUUGUUCAACUGCACGUAACCAGGCUGGCCUAGGCACUGGGUGAGGGUCUGCCUGUGCGGUACAGGAGGAGGUCAGCCUAGCUAGCUGAUCACAAGGAUCCUUUUUGCUGUGAAUUUGUCACCCAAGUUAAUGAAUGAUUGGCAUCCUCCCCCUCCCCCCUUGUCUAGUAUUCUGGAACUACCACAGCUCCAGCCCUCUCCAGCUACCUCAUUUUUUUCCCUGCAAUCUCUCUUGUCUAUGUAUCCUUUCCACUUCCCAUCUCCAACCUUCACCAUGCUAGCAAAGGGGAGCUAAUCUGCUGGAGCAGGAGGCCUCAGGGUUUCUGACUGGCCAACUUCUCUGCCGUUCUGGGGAGAUGGAUUCUUGGAACACGAGCACCUUCUGGCCAGUGGUCCCUCACCGGUUCCCCUGGACGUGAGGAGGAAGCUUGGGGAGUCUUUUGCCAUGUUGUUGUUGUUGUUUCUCUUAGCAGUGAAGCUUUUUGAAAAACAUACACUGCAUUAAAACCAGAGCUUCCAGUCCUAUUCUCUGGGCUGGUUCUAGGCUCCAGCAGGGGUUCAGUGGUACCUGCCACAUCCCAGUCUACAACACAGAAAUGUGUUCACAGCCAGCAGUGAUGGGACAGGGCCUGAAAGGCAAAUCAAGUAUCUGUGCCAGUUACAGAGCCCUUCCUAGUGAAAGCAAGGCCCUGGAAUGGCUGACAGAGUUAACCAAGGAGCAGUGCUUAGUGGCAGGUGUUCAGGUACUAGAAUGACAGGGCGGAGCAGCAUCUAAACAUGGCCAGCCUCGAACGGAAUCAAGUGUCUGCAUGUGUUUGCUUCACUUGCAGCUGCUCCUUCAGGUUAUUGUUGCUUGCUGUUCUAUGGGGGGGAGGUGUGUGUGGAAGGGCGAGAUCCUGAGAUCCCAAUGUAGGGUAGCCUGAGUGUAGGAAAUCAGAGAUACGUUAGUUGCGUAGACACUCAGCCUCUGCUACCAUGCCACAUGUCUGGCUUCCAAAGAGGGGAGCUACUUUCUGAUACUUACUCCCUUCUCUCUCCUACCUGCUGCUUGUGGCCUCUGUACCAAAGGCAGCAAGGUGGGGGUGGGACGCAGAAGCUUUUAAGCCUGCUCCCCCCAGCACUGUCUCCACGGUAUGGGAGGGGAGGGAAGUCAGAAGUGAAGCGCUCUGGGACCCAGCGCGAGCUGGGACUUGUACCGGGUCCCGGGUCUACCCCUGCUGCGGUUCUGCAGUUUGAACGCAUUAGGAGCCAGGAUGAAUUAUUAUUAGUUGCAGGAAAAAUAUCCUGAGCAUUUGUAACUGCAGCUGUAUGUUUGUAACUUGGAAUUGGUUUGAUUUAAUUGCCAAGCACAGCCUGGCACUUCCAUGUGGUUUGGUUGUAAUUCUUGGUGGGUUGCUUCUCCUCCAGGCCCAGAAACACAACUUCUUCCUCAGGCCAACUUGUGCUUUUACACUGGGCUAGAGACUAGCAGCACGAGAGCAUUAGGGAGCUGCUUUUUAUUGGUUGGUUUUCUUGCUGAUAAAGAGUUAGCACGGACAUGAAUCUGUUGCCAAUGCCAGAAACUGGGGAGAAGGUGCUCCGCUGAAUCAAAUGACCAAAACAAAGCAAUUCAGAAUUACAGCUUUAAACUACAUAUUUGCCCCCCUCCAUUGGGCCGGGGCACUACGGCCCACCUGGUGCCUACAAGGGCAGUCUUACCUACUGGUCUAACCUCCAAAGUGGAUGCCCCUGAACUUCUGAGCUGGCUUGGGAGGGACUCCCUUCCUGGCCUUGGGAACAUCCCAUAAACACAGUGCUACCAGUUCCCUGCCCCCCUCCUUACCUCUCAGGGUGGAUGGGAGGCAGCUGCUUGCUAGCAUCUCUGGAAGGGGGGGGGGGUUAUAAUAAAUCACCCUCUGUCUGGAGCCUUGAGCAAAGCUUAAACCACAUGGUCUGGCCGGGGACCAUUGUCAUGGAGUUUUCUGUCCUUCCCCUCUAAUUACCAGGAGAUUAUCAUGUUAACGAAAUCAUCUCCUGGGUCAUUGGGCGGCUGCUGGGAAAGCAUCACGGAACCAGCUGGGGAAGAAGAGCAGGCUGAUUAGAAAAGGAUCUAGGUGCAGCUAUCCACAUGCAAAUACCCUGGGAAGCCUCAUGGAGGCUUUUGGCUUCACAAUGGUUACUGGAAUAGCUGCUGCGCCAGUCCAGAGGGCAGGGUAGAUGCCAGCAUUGUGUUUCCAUGGCGCUCCUGAUGAUGCCCAUUCCUGGCCAGACCCAGCUCUCCUCUUCCUGGGUUGCAGGGCCCUGGCUGCAUGGAAACUGGGCUUCUUCUGCACAGGGGCCAUUGAGCCUAUGCCCAGGCAGUACCCUGGAGCUGUGCCCCCUCUGGGCUCUGUGACUCACCAGUCUAUGGAACCCUCCCCAGUCUCCACCUUCCAGAGGAUGAUCCCAGGGGCUGAGCAUAUGCCAGUUCAGAUAAUUCCCAUGAACUAUUUCAACAGAAAAUACCUUUUUAGACCAAAAUGAAAGUUUGUGUGAAGCAAAGUAUUUUGGUUAUAACAUUUCAGCUUUCAACAAGAAAAAAAUCAAAACAAAAACUUUUCAGACUUUUUGAUUAUUGUUAAAAUAUCAGUUAGAUUUAGAGAAAAAGGGCUGCUUCCACUUUUCUAAAAGCUUGCAUCUCCACUUCAAAAAGUUACAAAAAGUGAUAGCAAGAGGUUUAUUUAUCACCUGAAGAAUAUUUAAAGAAUGUUUUUGAAAAUCUUCAUUUUGAAAUUUUCCAUAAAAAAGCAGAAUUAAAAAAAUAUUUUUCAACCAUCUCUAAUGUUAAAUGAAAUUGCCUGUUUAUUAUUAAUAAUAAUAAUAAUAAUAAUAAAUUAACCAUCUCCUGGCUGUCACCUAGCCCUUUUCAUCAAUACAUCACAAUGUGCCUCACAGAAAAGGCCAAUGUAAUCCAUGUAUUACAAGUGUGGGGAAACUGAGGCAUAGGCAGUAGUGCCUAGCAAGAAAUCCUAGGUUCCUGAGUCUGACCCCAGUGCUCUAUCAAUUGUCUGUGCUUCCUGGCAGUAACGCACAUCAGUAAAAUUACCCUCUCUCUAUUCUGUAUCUGGUCUUUGAAAGUCUUAUCCGUAAAUAGCCCAAGAGAGCCAACAGAAAUACAUGUUCAGAGACGGGGGCAGACCCAGAUCUGUGUUUGAAAAAAUGUGCAUUUCCGUGAAUAUGUUAGUGAGAACCCAGCACCACUUCCUCUGGGGUGGUGCCUGCUGAAGAACCUACACUACUAAGGGCAGUGGCCGUUCUUUGGACAGCCAGGUGCCAUUAGACACAGUUACUCUUUGAGACACUCUGAAAGCUAGGGUUGCCAGAUGGUUUCAACAAAAAUACCGGACACACUUGACAUUACAUCACAAUCUGCAUUCCAUCUGAUUUAGAAAAUACCGGACAUUUCUAUUUUCUCAAUUUGUUUCCCAAACAGAAAGCUCAAAUACUGGACUGUCCGGUUCAAACCAGGACACCUGGCAAAACCACCGAAAGCCCAACAUUUCCAGGUGAGGGCUUUUGUCCUUUUCGUUGCAGAGAUGAGGUGAUUAAUUACAAUAGAAAACCAAAUGUUCAGGGCCUCUUUGUGAUCUCAUUCUGAGGUUUCAGCUGCUCUGAUGUCACUGAGUGGUUCCUGAUUUACACUAGCCUCAGUUAGAUCACAGUUACAACCAGACAAAGGCCUACACUAAAGAGCAGAGGCUAGUACUGAUGUCAGGUAGACCCUAACUGUUGACACAGCAUAUGCCAGAAGAGGGAAUUUUUCUGCCAGUGUGCAUCAUCUCCCUGAAGGACAUCCGCCGUGUCCUCUUCUCUAUAUGUAGCUGCUGGGAUUUUUGAGUUCAAAUCUGUGUCUGGAGGUUUGUGUUCACAUCCAUGCUGACAUAGCUAAGCUGGUUAUAAGACGCAAGUAUGUCGGGUCGUAGGCCAGAUCUACACAAGAACAGGUUUCCGAAUGCAGCAAUCCCAGCAAACUCUCUUAUUAUAUACACAGCUUAUAUGAACAAAGAGGUAAAUAGCUUAUAGUGAUUUGCCAAGCAAAACAAGUGACCCCAGAAAACACACUUUUAUGCUGACAUAAUUAUCUCUAUACUAGGACUUUUGAUAGAGUAGAAAUAUUGCAAUAAAAAAUUACUUCCCUAAUCAACUUCACUAGACCAGUAAAUGUUUCCAAUGUAGAUCUGGCCUAAACCACCUUUAAGUUGUCAAAAAUGUUCAUUGCAAUCAAUGGAGAAUUCUGCGUGUGGUUUCGAAGAAGCCAGGAUAUAUUGGCCCUUAAUCAUAGAAUCCAAGAACUGGAAGGAAGAGACUUUGAGUGGUCAUCAUGCCCAGUCCCCUGCACCAUCUAGAGUUCUAGACCGUCCCUGACAGGUGUCUAACCUGCUCUUAAAAAUCUCCAGUCACAGAGAUUGUACAACUCCCCUGGGCAAUUUAUUCCAGUGCUUCACCACCCUCACAGGGAGGGAGUUUAUCCCAAUUUCCAACCCAAACCUCAUUGCUGCAAUUUAAGGCCAUUGCUUCUUGUCUUGCCAUCAGAGGUUAGGGAAAAAAAUUUCUCCCUCCUGCUUGUAACAACGUUUUAGGUACUUUCGAUCUUCUCUCAUAAACCAUGUUUUCCAGACCUUUAAUCCGAUCCUCCAGAGCACUCGUGACCCCUCCCAUCUGGGUAUCCUCCACAAACUGUGUGUGUACUUUCUAUGCCAUCAUCUAAAUUGCUGAUGAAGAUAUUCAACAGAAUAGGUGCCAAAACUGACCUCUGCGGAAGCCCACUUGUUAUGCCCUUCCAGCAUGAUUAUGAAUCAUUGAUGGCUACUCCCUGGGCAUGGUUAUCCAGCCAGUUAUGCACCUGCCUUAUAGUAGCCCCGGUCAGGUUGUACUUCCCUCGUUUGUUAAUUAGAUAGAACUCGUCUAUGCUAAGAACUUCUAUGCCCAACUCAUUCUUUCGCCUUCAGAUGCAGUGUAGCCAUUGACUCAGGUCAGGUGCUCAGCAGCCAACACCUCCCACUGUUCUAGUGGAUGGCUGCUUCUCCACUGUUCUCUUGGGGAGCCGCUGGGCACCUAGGAAAAGCUGGCCCCUCACACUCACUGAAACUUCCCAGCUCUGAAAAUCAAAGGAAGUGUUAUUGGAAACGCUGCAGCAACUCUUCCCCAGCAGCCAAGCUGCUUUGUUUCCUGUUGUUAGAAAAAAACUGAACCCACCCCUCUGCGGCCAAAGCUAAUUCUGGUGUCGUGCCAAGUCGAUUGAUCAGGGCUUAGCAGACACAAUAAAUCAAUUACCAAUGGAUUGAUCAUGGAUGACUGCAGUGAAGAUAAACUGUGAGGGUCCCCCGGGGAGGGAAGCAACAGUGAAAGCAGAGAGUCCCUCACUGCUCUGCAGUCUGGGGCAUGCUGGGAGAGCUCCGCUCCAGUCUGCUCUGCAGAUGCUAAGUAGCCAUGCUAGUUGUCAUACUGGAGCUCCGUAAAGUACUUUUAGCCCUUGAGGCUCUUCCUGCUUGCAUUCAGGGCUGCUGGCUGUCAGCCGGUGGGACGCUCACAUUUCCUUAAACUGCGUGGGUAGAAAACCAGCGUUUGCCCAUCUCAAUAGCUGCGUGGUGACCACUGGCCCAUGCCCACGUGCUGUAGCAACACGCCUCAGGAGUGGCUUUCUUGUUCUUCCACAUACCAGCAUUUAUUUCAAGAAUCAGUCAGGCUCAGAUCCUCAGAUCAUGGGAGUUAGGGGCUUCAAGCCCUCAAGGGUCUGUGCCACAGCCUUUAGCUGUUAUGGCUGGGGAGAUGCCACCACUUAUCUCAUUACCCCCAUCAAGAAGGAGCCCAGCCCGAAGAGUCCACGGGCACCAGCUGACCACACUGCUUUGAGUGUCUUCCCUGGCUGGGAGCAAUGCCUCUCAUUUUGGCAACUCACAUGUAUGCAGCUUAUUUUAUGGGUAAGGCUGGAAAAGUGCCACCUCCUUUCCCCCUAGUCUGAUCCCUGGAUAAAUAGCUCCCUGGUGAAGUGAUCAAAGUGAGACAGGGUACUACCUUACAUCACAGCACACCUUGGAUUUUCCUCCUUGCAAGUCCAGUGGAAGCACAAGCCUUGCUGGCUACGUGUUAGCUACUAGAACUCCCAUGAGACGCCGGUAUUCUCUUGUGGUACUAGAGCUGCGUGGAGGACGGAAGUAACCCAGGCAGAGAGGUCUCAAAGGACUGGUAUUUUGGCAGGGAAACAUCAUGCUGACUUUGUUCUGACCUUUUGUUCCUAAAAGCUUUUUAUUUUGUUCCAAUAUGAUCUGAGUAUUUGCUCUGCUUUUCUAGAUGGUCUUGAUUUUAUUGAUCCAAUAACCACAUUACAGGACAGCUGAGUUGUCACUGAUUAGCAGGUUUUCUAGUUAAAAUGGAUAACGGAGAAAGCAAUUCUGUCAUGGUUCAUCUCUUGCCAACCCUGUUCUAACUCAAACAGUGAUCAAGUAGGCUUUAUACAUUGUUGGAAAUCUUUUAACAAAACGUAAAGCAGAAAAAGUAACCUUCAUGUUAAGCCUGCUGACCUUUAAUGAAUGCCCUAAGCAAAGAGAUGUGUGUGUGGUGUGCAAGACUGCCACAUCAUGUGGCACUUGCUGCACAAUAAAUAACUCACAACAGCCCUGCAAAGUAGGUGAAUAGGUCUUCAAUGGGCAGGGUGUGGGGGAGCUGUCCUGAUCUUGGUCACAGAACUGGCUCUGUGGACAACUGGAUCCUGCCCACUGCAGGCUGGGUCUUCUGGAGAUCAGGAUACAUGACCCUGCCCACUCUCAUGUGCAUAGUUUGGGAGCUAGGGGGUAGCAUUGCGUCCCCAAAAUGCAAGCCCUGUUUACAAAACCCAGCUCCCUCUGGAAAUGAAAAGCAUUAACUGCCCUGCUCUGGGCAAUGUUCUGUUCUGACCAGGAGUCACUUCCACAAGGCCGACGCCUCCCCAGCCUGCCCUUCCUGCAGGCGAGGACACCAAGGCGAGUCUGGUCACCUGAGGGGGCUCCAGGACUGGGCCCCACACCUCGUGACACCAGGGAUUGCUCUGGCCUCUGGGAGGGCUGGGUUUCUGUCUAACAGGAAACAAAGCAGCCUGGCCGCGGCGUUUCCAGUAGCACUUCCUUCGAUUUCCGGAGCAGGGAAGUUCCAUUGUGAGCUACAAGUGAGCGUGAGGGGCCAGCUUUCCAUAGGUGCCCACGAGCACCUCUUGAGAACAGGGGAGAUGCAACCACCCAUUAGAACAAUGCAACAAUCAAGGGUCAACAUCAAACCCUGAGCUCCCUGAUAGCUCCCAAUGGAUUUCAAUGAACAACUGGGCCCUGUUCUAAGGUAAGUGAAGCCAGAGUGGCAGUAGUAACAUCUGCUGUCCUGGCAAUGUCACAUCAAAGUGGGAUUCUCUGUGGCACUUCCAUGGGGUAAAAGCCACAGUGUAGAUGCAAUUAUACUGGCACCCAAGUGGCUUUGGUGAAAGUUUGUUUUCCCCACACGGGAGAGCCCUGCAAAUCCUGCGUCUCCACCCCAUGCCUGGCAGUGCCUUUGCUGUGCAAUUCUAAGGACCUAACUUUGAACUAACCCACACUGGUGCAUGUUUGGAAUAACUAAGGAAUGCAGUAGAACCAAGCCACCUUCAAACCAGCCUGGGACCAUAACCAGGCCCUGAAAAUGUCAGUUUCUGUUUGCAUUAUGUGCAUAAGUUAUCCAAACCUAUAAAGGCAGAAAAUGUAACAACAAAGUGAACACAUUACUGUUAUAGAAAAUUACAAAUUGAACAAUUUCUAAACUUUCUUUUAAUUAUUUGUUUUGUAUUUGGGGGAAAAUACAUCUUGCCUGUGGGGUGACAUUUGGCAUGUCACUUAAUCUUGUGCCUGUUUCCACAGCUGUAAAAUGGGAAUAAUGAACCUCCUUUGGGGUAGCUGUGUUGCAAAAAUGAGUCCUGUGACAUCUUAGAGACUAAUAGAUUUGAGCUCCAGGGAGGAACAGUGCUAAAUAAGAGUUUAUUUAUUUAUUUAUUUAUUAAAAGGCAGCCAUUCCAUUUAAAACUUGACAGUAGGUAAAGUUUCUUUGUUUUAUUCCAAAUUUGGGGUAAAGGUCUAUGAACAUUUUAAGAUGAAACAUUUUCAAAACAUAUUUUAUGAGAAAAAUAUCCCACACCUACCCUCACUUUCAUUUUGCUAGGAUCUUUGACAAAACAGGAUUGUUAAAGAAAGGGCUUUCCAUCCCUAAAAAUGGUGCUAAAAAUUGAAAUGUCUGACUUUCUUGUUUUGCUAUUUGCCCUGGGCAGCUUGAAAUGUUUACCAAAAUUAAAGAGUUCACAGACCAGCUCAUGUUGGUCAAAAAGACAUUUUCCACCACCCAGAGAAGUGAACCCACAGGGCCUGUCUAUGCACCCAAGUCAUGUCAGAUCUGAUAUCCGUCUGGUCUGUGGUGGGGGAGGAGGGUUCCAUAGACUGUGGUGAGUCAUGGAGCCCCGAGGGGUCACAGCUCGAGGGUACUGCCUGGGCAUAGGCUCAACG